GGUGGCCCAACCCCUUGUGGGAGGGAGCUGUCGAAGGUGGGACUGGCGAUUGGGACGAAGUCGUAACAAGGUAGCCGUACCGGAAGGUGCGGCUGGAUCACCUCCUUU
rnacentral:rRNA from 1 species